GACGAACCGUGCAAACGUUGUUCGGAAUCACUGGGCUUAAAGGGCGCGUAGGCGGGUCUCCAAGUCGGUGGUGAAAUCUUUCAGCUCAACUGGAAAAGUGCCGCCGAUACUGGGGAUCUCGAGGGAGGUAGGGGUCGAUGGAACUAAUGGUGGAGCGGUGAAAUGCGUAGAUAUCAUUAGGAACGCCGGUGGCGAAAGCGAUCGACUGGACCUCUUCUGACGCUGAGGCGCGAAAGCCAGGGGAGCAAACGGG
rnacentral:rRNA from 1 species